rnacentral:rRNA from 1 species
GCUGGCGGCGUGCCUAACACAUGCAAGUCGAACGAGGUAGCAAUACCUAGUGGCAGACGGGUGAGUAACACGUGGUCAACCUGCCUUUGUGUGGGGGAUAACUGGCCGAAAGGUUAGCUAAUACCGCAUACGAUCGCCCUGGGGCAUCCCUAGGCGAUGAAAGGAGCAAUCCGCACAAAGAGGGGACUGCGUCCCAUUAGUUAGUUGGUGGGGUAACGGCCUACCAAGACUCCGAUGGGUAGCUGGCUUGAGAGAGCGACCAGCCACACUGGAACUGAGACACGGUCCAGACUCCUACGGGAGGCAGCAGUGAGGAAUUUUCCGCAAUGGGCGAAAGCCUGACGGAGCGACGCCGCGUGUGGGAAGAAGGCCUUCGGGUCGUAAACCACUGUCGAAGGGGACGAUAUUGACGGUACCCUUGGAGGAAGCCCCGGCUAACUACGUGCCAGCAGCCGCGGUAAGACGUAGGGGGCAAGCGUUGUCCGGAAUUAUUGGGCGUAAAGCGCUCGUAGGUGGAUCGACAAGUCCGCAAGCAAAGACCCGGGCUCAACUCGGGAAUCCGUGUGGAAACUGUCGAUCUUGAGGUAGUCAGAGGAUGAUGGAAUUCCCGGUGUAGCGGUGAAAUGCGUA